GUGGUUAAAAAGCUCGUAGUUGGAUCUCAACAGCCUUGAAGCGGUUAACUUUGUAGUUUUACUGCUUUAUAGGCUGUGCUUUUGCUGGAGGUUUAGGGGUGCUCUUGAUCGAGUGUCUCUGGAUGCCAGCAGGUUUACUUUGAAAAAAUUAGAGUGCUCAAAGCAGGCUAAAAUGCCUGAAUAUUCGUGCAUGGAAUAAUAGAAUAGGAUGUCGAUCCUAUUUUGUUGGUUUUCGGGACUCGACAUAAUGAUAAAUAGGGACAGUCGGGGGCAUUUGUAUUCAAACGACAGAGGUGAAAUUCUUGGACCGUUUGAAGACAAACUACUGCGAAAGCAUUUGCCAAGAAUGUUUUCAUUAAUCAAGAACGAAAGUUAGAGGCUCGAAGGCGAUUAGAUACCGCCCUAGUUCUAACCAUAAACGAUGCCAGCUAGCGAUCUGCCUGCGUUUUUACUGUAGACUGGGCAGGAAGCUUCCGGGAAACCAAAGCAUUUGGGUUCCAGGGGAAGUAUGGUUGCAAAGCUGAAACUUAAAGGAAUUGACGGAAGGGCACCACCAGGAGUGGAGCCUGUGGCUUAAUUUGACUCAACACGGGAAAUCUCACCAGGCCCGGACACUGGAAGGAUUGACAGAUUGAUAGCUCUUUCUUGAUUCGGUGGGUGGUGGUGCAUG
rnacentral:rRNA from 1 species